AUUUAAUAUAUAUUUAUAUUAUCAUGUUAUAUUUAAAUGUGUUCGUUUAAUAUAGUAUCUAGUUGUUAUUUGAACAAUCUAUUAAAAUAUUAAUUUUAUAUUAAUUUUAAAUCAGUUUUUACGAUACGAAUAAAUCUUUUUUCUUCUCCUUUUUUUCUAGAAACUUUUCUUACAUUCUAAUUGUUUGUACAAUAAAAAGAUGGAAAUCUUAUCGAUCGAAAGAUGUGAAAUUCGUGGUAGAAAGUAGGUUUAUCCUUGCUAUCGUACAUUGUUAACGCAAACCUUAUUACUAAACUCGGCACGGCUUCUAAACACCGGAUGUUUCAUGCAACAUUUAAGAAAUCUCGGUUACGAAAUUAAUUUGGUCGUGACUGGAAAAAAUAAUGCAGAAUUCAAAAUCGACAAAUUGAUAGUUUAAAAAUUCAAAUUCUUUUUCCGCUUUAUAUUCAUUAAAGCAUCGAAGUGUGAAUUUUUUUUUACAAUAAAUUUAAUUUAAAAAAAAUUAAAUUUUUUAUAAUUAUUUUAUAAUAAAGAUAUAUAUCAGUUAUAAUUUUUGAAUCCAUAAACGACAAGAAUAAAUAAAGAAUUAAAUAACAAAUUUAUUUACUAUAUUUUAUAAGAAUUAAAAAGGUAAUGAUUAACAGCCACAUUAAAUUUCGUUCAAUUAUUCGCGUUUAAACUCGAAUGGGUUAAAAAAGAAAGAAAGAAAGAAAGAAAGUACGAAAGAAUAAAGCUAAAAUAGAUAUAAAAAUUAUGUAUUUCACUUUUCUUUCCAACGAGUUCCAACACUCACGGUUAUCGUAUCGAAUAAGAAAAGUGAAAACGCUUCCUCUCUCACCGGGAAUUGAAAUGAUUCGAUAUGAAAGUGGUUGAAACUGGAUGGUAUGUAUUGUAUUGUUGACGAUCAUCAAAUCCAUUCCAGGAAUAACGAUUCCCUCACUUUCACCCGUCAUCGUUUCUUUCCAUAAUUCCCCGGGGAUAAUUAACGAUCGUCAGAAAAGGGCUCCUAUCGGAUAAAUUUUCUCUCUUUUUCUCUCCUUUUCUCUCCUUGGCUCAAUCUCUGCUUAACAAGCUAAUUAGUCGCGGAUAAUUAUUAAUUAAAUAAAUUCCAUUCCAUCGUGAUUUAUUCGUGAGAUAACUUCAUUUCUCUAGAAGAAUUGAUUUAAUUGUUGAGAAACUAUUAAAUAGAAUAAAUUUGAAAUAUUCAAUAAUCAAAAAAUUUAAUUUAAAUUUGAUUUUUUUUAUUUUGAUAUUUUUUUUUUUUUUUUUUAUGUUUUGAAAUAAAACAUAGUGAUUAUUUAAUUAUAGUUUGAUGGACAGUGAGAUUUUGAAAAUGUUUAAAAAAUGUUCAAUGGAUCCGAAUAAUUAUAAUAAAUUAAUUUGUUAAAAGAUGGUAAAUUUUUAUAAUCAUAUUAGCGAAAAUAAUUAUUUUAAUGAUUUAGAUUUUAUGAUGUAAAAUAAUGAUAAAAUGAUAUCGGUAAUAUUUUUCAUUAUGAAGCUGUUUAUAUUUGCUAAACCUGGAAGAAAGUAUAUAGUUAGAGUCGAGAUCAAGAUGAUUAAAAUCAAAAAUGUAAUCAGCUGAGUUAAUAUCAUUACUUUGCUAUCUUCUAGCUAUAUUAGGAUUAUUAUAACUUGUUUACAAAUUCUAUUAAACUUGUACUUCAUUAACGAUUUUAAUACAUAACUUUAGAAAAGUUAGCAACUUAAUUUCUUAACAAUAAGCGGGAAGAUAAAUUUUUUAUUUAAAUUUAAAAUUUUGCUUUAAAAUUUUGAUAAUUUAAACAUCUAGUAAAAAUCACUCAAAAAUAUUUUAAGAAUUUAUCUCAGUUUAGCACUUGGAUGAAUAAAUAAUUGAAAAAAAUUUAGUUUUCUGAAAAACUAAAAAAAUGAUCUUGAGAAUAAAUAUAAAAAUAAAAAAAGAAAUCACACAUGGAAGAUCAUACAAUAACUAUAAUAUUAUUUUAUAUUAAUGUGGCGACAAUGUCAGGAAAUGUAUUAUAUAUCAGUAGUAUUAAUUACCGAUGUUAUCGAUCCUUCAAUUGUUUUUUAGCUAAUACUUUAUGACGCAAUCUAUAUCGAUGAUUCAAGAUACAAUUAUAUAUAUCCGAUUCCAAGAAAAUAAAAAAUUGAAACAAAUAAAACGUUAUUUCCAUAUUUUUCAUAUCCAAAAACGUAUUUCCUGAUGUACACCAAAAAAACAGUUAUUUUUGUUUAUUGUUUGCAAUUUAUUUCUCAAUUUUUAUUUUCAUCAUUAUUAAAAAAUGCAUUCAAAAAAAAGCUAUUUAACGAAAUGAACGAAAUAAACGCCUCGAUUAUAGAAGGUAUAUUUAUUGAUAUCGAUUUAUCAAUAAAUUUCUUGUGAGAAUGAAAAUUUACUGCUACUAACAAGUAAUGUUAAAACGCAUUUAAUCUAUAAACCGAGAAUUCAUUUUAUCAAUCGUAUUUUUAUGAUUUCUUUUUUCUUGUACCAUUCUGAAAUUAACCAAUGAUUCCACUUAUCUCUAUUACAUUUUUAAAGACGGCGAAAAUAAAAAAAUCCAUAAAGAAUUAAAAGAAACGAAAAAAAAUAGUUUACGAUUACUUGGAAUAAUAUUGCGAUAAAACGUAUUCUCACAGGCAAGUAGCCAUGAUUUAAUAUUGAACGAGUAAUCGAAGCGAGGCAAGCUGCUUCUUCGAUAUAUCGCUCGAAUGUGACUCUCGAUAGCGUGAUGAUAUCGGAAAUGGCGGAUGUGAAUGUGUCACGUUUCGAAUAUUCAAUAUUAUUUUGUGUAAAAAAAAAAAUUAAAAAAAUGAAACGAAAUAAAAGGAAUAAAUAGAAAUUCGUAUAAAGAUGCGUAUUGCAUUUUUAAAUAAGUGAAUAUUUCUAAAUUAAAAAUACCGAUUAAAAAUUAAAGGUUAGAAAUUGAGGUUAGAAAAAUUCGUUGCUAAAUAUGUAACUCAUAAUAGCGAAAAUAGCACGAGGAAGUGAUAUUUGUGAAUAAAAUAAAGUGAGAUAAAAUUUUCCAAUAAUAUGAACAAUAUAAUUUUAUAAAAAUAAAAAAAAUAUAAAAAGAUAAAAUAUAUGUAAUGAUGACAAAGAUGUAAUUCAAUAUAAAUAAAGUAAAUAUUUCUUAAGAUGAUAAAUUGCAAAAUAUAAUGAAGUAAGAUAGAGAUAGAAAUCGAAUGUAAAUUUUGUUUCCAAAUCUGUAUAUUUUUGCAAAAGGAUACAAUAUAGAGAAACUAAGUCGCUAUGCAAGAAGAAGAAUCAAACGUAAUCCGCUUUUAAAAUGCAACGUAGAUGCAAGAAACUAAUUAUGAGAGAAAAUGAAAGUCAUAUUUCCAAAUAUAAUUUUAUCAGAUAAUUGUAAACGAAGACGCAAUAUGUGGAAUUGAGGUUACCUUCCAAGAAACUGAUUCACACAACGAAAAAAUGAAUCAUCCAAGUAUCGAGCCUAAAAUAUCUAAUCUGAAAAGAUUAGACGUGAACAAUUUAUAACUUCAUUUUUAAAUAUUUAUUAUAGCAAAUAUCGAGCAGAAACACAAUACAAAUAACCAAAAAUAUCACGCAUAUAAAGAAGCGAAAGCAAAUAGGAACCACAUUUUUAGUUGUACAAUAUGCAACAAUCGACAAAUAAAAUAUAAAAGAAGAGAAUAAAAUCAAAUUGCGCUUUUAAACAUUCGAAAUAAAAUAACCAAGCAAAGAACGCAACACUUUCAAACGAAUGUACCUCGCAAGAGAAUAAAUCAACUAUAAACCACGUUUCCUAUUAUUCAAAGUACAAAAAAAAAAAUUUAGGAAUAUGCGUCUCCAAAAAGCGAGUGUCUGCCGCAUUUCCAAAUAAAAUUUAUCGUGGUAUCAACGUGUAAGGGAGUGAUGCAAGGGAAAUAUGUGGAAAGACGUAUAGCCGCGUUUCCACGCGGCUCUGAGGCAAGAAUGUAAGAACGCAAAGUUAGGUCUUAUCGCAUCGAAAUCCACCGUUUCACUGGCAUGACGACGGUGCUUUAUCCAGCGGAAAGAGCUUCUAAUAUCACAUGCCGUUUAUCGAUUUAUCCCUGGGACGACACACCACCGACACGUAUUGCGGAUCGUACGUUUCCAGUAGCAUUCGUGGCAUUUCCUCCAACAGCAUUGCCGCGAAUCGAUUUACAUAAGAAUUUCUGACUGUGUUCUGACGCUUUUCGAGAAAAAGAAGUGAAAGAGGAGAGAAGAAAAGAAAAGAAAGGAAAUGGAGAGAAAUAGAAGAUGAAGAAGGAAGUAAAUACUCAUAGGAGGAGGAAGUAGGAGGGGAGACGAUGGAUGAAAAACGGAGGAGAAUCGAUAGUCUCUCGAGAAGGUGUCACUACGUAUGGAGCAUCAGAUUUACCCACGUCACCGACUACUCAAGCAUCCUGAAAUAGCAUACUUUUCUUCAUCGAUCAGUCUCGGUCGUCUGCACCAAUCUAGUCGCUUGCAACCCCUCUCGAGGAGAGAAGACCGAGGGUCGAGGUUAACCAGUUCCUUACUCGCAGUUAAAUUAUUCGAGAAGACCAAUCUAUUUGGAUGGUCUUGUUAAAUUUCUUAUUAAAUGUGUUUGAUAACGUUUUGUAAAUUUUCAAUUCGAUUGAUUUACAUACAUAGAUAUACUGAUAAUAUUUCUUAUGAAAUUUGUAAUCUUUUUGAAAUUAUAGAAAAUAAUAAUUGUGUUAGAUUUUUCUCUCUCAAGCAAAAAAUUAGAUUGAGUUUUUAAAGUUUAACGCGAUAAAAUUGUUGUCGUUUACAUUUAAUUUUUAAAAAUGUUUCUUCCUAGUAUAUACACAAGUGGUUUGAAUUAGAUAACAUAGUUAUUUUGUUUUUUAUAAUGCAUGUCUUCUUUAUCAAUUUUUUCGUGUAAACAAGAAUAUUCAUUCAAAAAUAUCUUGAAAAAAUUAUUGAAAAAUAAAAAUUGCAUUUUUCACAAAUGUAAAGUCUAUUUGAACAAGAUAAUAUUUCGUUGGAAAUACGAUAGAAAUAUGAAGAAAGGGUUGAUUUUAAUGGGAUAAGUGAAGGUUUGCAGUACAUGGCGCACAUUGAAUUCUCCAUCAAAAAGAACAUGAAAGGAACUUGAAAGCGCAUUUUAAAGUAAAUAAACAUGUGUUUGGAUGACAGGUGUUCAUUUUCAAACAAGUGUACAAGGGUGAAAGAGGUCAUGAAUUUAUUUCUCUUUUCUUUAUGCUAUUCGUACGCAGGAUGUUAUAUUUUUAACCAAGCCACGGUAAAUAUUUUAAUAUUCAUUAUACCGAUAAAUAAUAAAAAAUUGUAAAUUUUUCUCUUUCAUAAAUUAUAUGCUAUACAUAAAAAUAUUAAUUUCAUUUUAAAACGAUAUCUUCACAUUUGAAGAGAUUCUUUUAUUUUCCGAAUUAAAAACUAAAAUCGAGUUUCGUUUUUAAAUUUAACAUUCUGAAUGUAGAAUAUUCAAUAUCAUAUCAAAUAUCAAUAUAUUAAAUGAAUUUUAUUAAAUAUUUUUCAAUAUUAAUACAAUUUAAAUAACGAACGAAUUUUUUAAAUAAAAAAAAAAGAAUUCACAAAAGAAGAUUUAUUGCGAAAUAUUUAAUUGAGAGAUCGAGAUCAUAAAAGUUAAAUAUUUUUUAAAUUUUUUGUCAAAAUUUUAAUGACAAAUGCUUUAUGAAUGUAAUAUACAAUUAUAAAGAUACAUAAUACAUUUUAAAUAUGUAAUUAUGUCUUUAAAGAAAAUUCAAAAAAUUAUUGCAUUCUAUCACUUAUUAAAAUAAAAAUUAAAAAAAUCCACAUUAUUUAAAUUUAAAA